UACGUAGGGGGCGAGCGUUAUCCGGAAUUAUUGGGCGUAAAGAGUGCGUAGGUGGUUGUUUAAGCGUGGGGUGAAAGGCAAUGGCUUAACCAUUGUGAGCCUCGCGAACUGGGCGACUUGAGUGCAGGAGAGGAAAGCGGAAUUCCUAGUGUAGCGGUGAAAUGCGUAGAUAUUGGGAGGAACACCGGUGGCGUAGGCGGCUUGCUGGACAGUAACUGACGCUGAGGCGCGAAAGCCAGGGGAGCAAACGGGAUUAGAUACCCCUGUAGUCCCUGA
rnacentral:rRNA from 1 species